CGGGUGAGGGGGGCGCAGGACCGGCCCGUCGGGGGUUGUUACGGCCUCGGCGGAGCAAGAGCGCUCGCGUUGGGACCCGAAAGAUGGUGAACUAGGCCCGAGCGGGACGAAGCCGGGAGAAAUGCUGGUGGAGGUCCUAAGUGGUUCUGACGCGCAAAUCGAUCACGGAACUUGGGCGUAGGGGCGAAAGACUAAUCGAACCAUCUAGUAGCUGGUUCCCUCCGAAGUUUCCCCCAGGAUAGCUGGCGCUCGCCGAGACAGUUUCGUCCGGUAAAGCGAAUGAUUAGAGGAGUCCGUGCCGAAAUGGCGUGGAGCUAUUGUCAAACUUUGAACGGGCGAGAAGGGGUGCCUACCGCUCGAUCUGGGAGGCUCGGCCCCCGUCGAAAUGUACGAGUGCCAAGUGGGCCACUUUUGGUAAGCAGAACUGGCGCUGUGGGAUGAACCAAACGCCGGGUUAAGGCGCCCGAUCGUCACGCUCAGCAGAACCCACAAAAGGCGUCCAUCGGUAAAGACAGCAGGACGGUGACCAUGGAAGUCGGUAUCCGCCAAGGAGUGUGUAACAACUCACCUGCCGAAUUGGUGGGCCCUGAAAAUGGAUGGCGCUGUAGCGUGCAGCCUACACCCGGCCGUCUCGGCAAUUUUCUCCGGCCUGCCGGUAGAGACUGACCGAAGCCGAGACGAGUAGGAGGGUCGCCGCGGUCAGCGCUGAAGCCUUAGACGCGAGUCUGGGUGUAGCGGCCGCGGGUGCCGAUCUUGGUGGUAGUAGCAAAUAUUCGAGCGAGAACCUCGAAGGCCGAAGUGGAGAAGGGUUCCGCGUUGCUCCUUCGAUCGGCCGCGGGUUAGUCGGUCCUAAGGCCUGGGAGAAAUCCUACGGGAAGCGGGACGUUUUUGAAAAUCAUUAAAAAUCAGUCUCACCCAAUGCACGGGCCGAAAGGGAAACGGGUUAGGAUUCCCGUACCCGAAGGCGGAGCACAAGCGGCGACGCAAAGAAGGUCGGAUACACCGUCGGGAGAGUCGAGAAGAGUUAACUUUUCUUUUUGAGGUGCGCUCGCUGACCCUGGAAGCGGUUCUGCCGGAGAUAGGGAGCGAGAGCAAUCAACUUUAUCCGCAAAGCCGGCUCCAGCGGGGGCCUGUUCGGCUACGACUCGACGGUCCUUGAAACUCCGACGGCUAAACUCUUUCUUUUUUUAUUUUGAAAUAAUGUGUUCGCUCUCGCCUCGGGCCGUACCUCAAUCCGCCGCAGGUCUCCAAGGUUCGCAGCCUCUGGUCGAUAGAACAAUGUAGGUAAGGGAAGUCGGCAAAAUGGAUCCGUAACUUCGGGAGAAGGAUUGGCUCUGAGGGCCGAGCGACCCG
rnacentral:ncRNA from 1 species